rnacentral:pre_miRNA from 1 species
AUACAGGGCUUCAUCCAAAGCUCAUUGAAGUCAAUAGGUGUCUGUCCAUUGGUGUCACUGGGGUUUGGAUCAGGCCCAU